UACUGGGUUAACUGAGGGACCUUGAGC
rnacentral:piRNA from 1 species